rnacentral:misc_RNA from 1 species
AGUAAUGAAGUCGUCGGCCAAGGAUGACAGCUGAGCACUGCUGUCACUUAUUUACCUGUAGAAAUCACUAGUAUAUAUGGAAUGAUAGUGUUGGCUGGAUGAGUGGCGAUGUCAGCAGCUAAUGAUGGGAGAAACAUGGAACAGCAGCAGCACCGGCGAGCGUCAUCAAUGUGGAAAUCUUUCUCGUACUGUAUCCCAAGAAAUAUUCGUCGUGCCUCCCAAGCGCCCUUCUUCUGCCUCUGCUGCCUCAUCUGCAAAGAGGCCUCAUGUGUCUGUGACCUUGGACAGUAAAUUGGAUAUUGUAAAGCUGCAUGAGAAAGUGUACCAGCUGCAACAGGAUGCUCCAAAGCCAGCUGCGGUCUUAUGCACUGACCGACCACCUGACAGUCCCAGUUUCUAUGGCCUGGAGUAUCAUGGCAGCAUCAGACGGCACCAGUGUCCAGACCUGCUCACGCUUGAAGGGUCGUACCUUGUACGGCACAGUGAGAAUACAGAAGGAUUUUACACACUGAGUAUGCGGUUUAACGGUCAAAUUAAACACUUUCGAUUAUACUUCGACGGCAAAAAACAUUAUGUUGGCGAGAAACGAUUUGACACCCUACAUGAUCUAGUAGCUGAUGGACUCGUUACAUUCUAUAUAGAGCUGAACGCUGGAGAACACCUCAAAGACAUUUCAUCCGGUUCUUACGUCAACUCUCCGUAUUACACCCUGACGAGGUCCAUCCGGAAACACAUGCAGAUCAACAAACUCACAGGAAACAAAGAGAAUAAUGAACCAACUAACGAAACGGAUGCUUCAAAAUUUUAUGUGUCAAUUCCUGUGGAUGUAGUACCUGUGGAAACUGCUGACUCGCCAGAUGCCACUACACAGCGUCCACAUCGAUUCCAAACCAGUACAUUCACUGGACUCCAUUGGUGUGGAUUCUGUGGUCACUUCCUGUGGGGUUUUGUGUCUCAGGGCGUCAGAUGUCGAGACUGUAGUUUCAAGGCCCAUAAGCAGUGCAGUUGUAAAGUUCCCAAUGAUUGCAACCCUGACCUGAAAGAUGUGCAAAGUAUAUUUGGUGCUGAUCUCACAACAAGUUUGGAGAUGACAGGAGGAACUACUAGUCAGGUUCCAGCAGUAGUAAAAGAGUGCAUAGCAGAGAUAGAGGCUCGUGGCCUCGCAGCUGAAGGGAUAUACAGGGUUCCUGGCUCACAAGACCAAAUAGAAGCUCUGAAGUUGGCUUUUGAAAGAGAUGGCAACCGAGUGAACCUGGAUGAAAAAGCAGUUGGGGACAUAAAUGUGGUUGCUGGAGUGUUGAAACUGUACCUGAGGCAAUUGCCAUUACCACUCAUCACCGCUAAUUGCUUCAGCAAACUUAAGGCAGCUUGUAAAUUAAGUGAUCGUGAAGCCCGUGUGUCAAGUAUUCAAGAUGCGCUCAAGUCCCUUCCUGAUGCACACUAUGCAACACUUGAAGUUAUUAUCUAUCAUCUUAGCAGGGUUUGUGAUCACUGUGCAGUCAAUAAGAUGUCUGCCACCAGCCUGAGUACAGUCUUUGCACCCACACUUGUUGAGACUGAUGUGGGUGAUGACAUUCAACCAGCAGAUUUACUUGCUUUGGCGAAUACAGCUCAAGAGCCUAGAGUUGUGGAAGUGCUCAUUGUGUGUCACCGAGAAAUUUUUCCCUAACACAAUUGUAAUGAUUGUGCAAAUUGAUGGGAACUCAGGACAGACAAUGGUCGAGCCACAAGAGAAAAUAAACCAGUAAACUUCAACCAGUGGACUGAUACAGGAUGAUGAGGAAGAGUUGAUAGACGCUGUAGGAGUAUGUGACUGACCACUCAUCUCAGGGUGAAACAGUGCAAUCACAAGAAUACCAAAGACGAAAUAUUUACCUUCUUGGCGCUGACUGGACAUGGACGAGAAUCUUAACCCUGAUUGGACGAGGCUGAGAACAUCUUGACGUUAAUUGGACCAAAUCGAGAGUACACUAAUGCUGAUUGGAUGAGAGGCUCCAGGGUCCCUCAACCCACUGGACGCAAGGCUCCUGGUCACAAGGCUCCUCCUCGGGGGGUCGUGUGGCGGAGGGGCAGCGCUCGCCCUCAGGACACUGGACUGGUCGCACCCGCUCCCCGAGGU